UCUCCUGGGAACGGGUGGUAAUGCCGGAUGCUCCAUCACACCGCAUGGUGUGUUGGGAAAGCCUUUGCGGCAUGGGAUGGGGUCGCGUCCUAUCAGCUUGAUGGCGGGGUAACGGCCCACCAUGGCUUCGACGGGUAGCCGGCCUGAGAGGGCGACCGGCCACAUUGGGACUGAGAUACGGCCCAGACUCCUACGGGAGGCAGCAGUGGGGAAUAUUGCACAAUGGGCGCAAGCCUGAUGCAGCGACGCCGCGUGAGGGAUGGAGGCCUUCGGGUUGUAAACCUCUUUUGUUAGGGAGCAAGGCAUUUUGUGUUGAGUGUACCUUUCGAAUAAGCACCGGCUAACUACGUGCCAGCAGCCGCGGUAAUACGUAGGGUGCAAGCGUUAUCCGGAAUUAUUGGGCGUAAAGGGCUCGUAGGCGGUUCGUCGCGUCCGGUGUGAAAGUCCAUCGCUUAACGGUGGAUCCGCGCCGGGUACGGGCGGGCUUGAGUGCGGUAGGGGAGACUGGAAUUCCCGGUGUAACGGUGGAAUGUGUAGAUAUCGGAAAGAACACCA
rnacentral:rRNA from 1 species